rnacentral:lncRNA from 1 species
UUUCAACCUACAGUCGUGCUCCCGGGGAGAGCCUCCAUGCCAAGAGACGUCUGUAUAAGGAGCGCUCUGUACAGCAGCCCCGGACGUGUGGGACAGCAGGCACCGAGGAGUGCGGCUGCUGGGGGGAGCAGCGGCACGGGACAUAAGCAGAGGGAUGUGAUGCCUUCUGCUAAAGAGAGGCUAAUUCUGUCUCCCUAAAGGGCGGCUGGUUACGGCACGGGAGCGCCAAGUUAAUAAACCAACCCUUUUAAAUGCUGUCUUCUACAUACGCUGUCUCGAGACGUACCAACCACGUUAUCUGCGGUGUCGAUGUUUUCCUCCUUGCACAUCAACACGGCCACAAACGUUUGUUUUCUCCAGAGGGAGCUGAGGUCCAUCAGACGGAACUAGCUAGCUGCGGGGCAACCAAACCGAGCAGCCUGGCAACCACAGCAGGAGCUGGCAGGCAGGGAGCUGGCUGGGGCCGCAGCCUCCCGCGUCCCUCUCGCAUCCCUCCCGUUCCCAUCCGUCCCUGCCGGCCGGCGGUACGGCGCAGCACCCUCUGGUGGCACUCGGCAGCCGGCGGGGCUGGCUCGCACGCCGGGCUUCAUCCUCCUCUUCCUCCGCGGAUCACCUGCUGCGGCCGCUCGGGUGGGGAAGUGCUGGGGGACUGCCUGAAAGUGAAGUGGGAGAGAGUUUAGGGUUGGAGUCGUGUCGCAUCUCUCGGCAUUUACAAAGAAAGGUGGUGGUGACAAGAGAAGGAUGUGGUGACUCAGGAGGCAGCAAUAAGAAAGCCCAGGGUGAAGUUUCACUUUGAUUUCAGCGGAAAAGUUCCCCGUGAAGAUGCUCCCAGUUUGCAGUCGGCAGAGAAGCAGCUCACCUGAGUUUCACGGAGGGGUAAGCCACUUCACGCUGGGUGUACAGAAAGGUUAGGCCUGCCCCCCAUCUUUAGGGUAAACACAGAUGAGCUGAGUAGCUGCCCUAUAAGCAGGAGCACAGUGGCAGCCAGAGGAGGAGCUGCGUGGUUUCACGCUACAAAUGAGCAGCAGGUUCCUCUGCAAUCAUCUCCCUAGAGAUAAUCUAACAAAGUCCACACAGGGGGCUGGGCUACAGAUGCACGUCCUCCCAGGCUAAUGUGCUGGUGGAAGAGGUUAUCCUCCGUGCCUGUGGUUAACAAUCCCUUCAGAUCUGCUUUGCUGCACUGUGCUUGAAUGCUUCUUACAUUUUCUCAGCCAGAACAGGGGAAGGUUAGCAGAGACAUUCUGUGUUUACAACGUCCUUCUCUAUGCAUGAGAGGAAGCUGUCACCCCACAGCCUGGACUGAAGCAGCAGGAACCUCCAGCACUGGGCGAGAGCCAGUGACAGUGGCUUCUGCCACAGCCUGCAUGCAUGUCUGCUGCCUACGUGCACAGUGACAGUGUGCAAGGCGUCCACGGUUUGCCUUGUCACACACAGGCUUUCACGUGGAGAUAAGCCUGCUGCUAACGCAUCCAACUUGGCUAACAUUUUAAACGUUGCAGGCUUAGCUUUGCCGUUGUUUAAAUUCUCAAAUCGGUGUGAUACAGCUCCAGUGGCAAAAAAAUCAGCAUAAACGUGGCCUGCCAAAACUAGUGGGUCCAAAGGAAGAUGUUCAACACAUCUGAAGCUGGGCUAAGUGUACGCUGGUCAGGAUUCCUGGGUGCCAGCCCACCUGUAUGGAGAGCAAUCAUGGUUUGUGCCAGCUGAGCACAAAGUGACCAGCUGGUACAGAAGCAGGAACAAGGUCGCUUUAUGGCUGUGGACCUGAGAAAAGGAGGAACACCACAACAGAUGUAACACAGAGACACACUUUUGCCACUUCUGGUUAUGGACACACAAUCAGUGAACCACAGAAUCGCCAAGGUCGGAAAAGACUUCCAAUAUCAUCCAGCCCAACCCUCCACCUACCACCAGUAUUUCCCCACUGAA